CUGAGUACGGCGGAACACGUGAAAUUCCGUCGGAAUCCGGGAGGACCAUCUCCCAAGGCUAAAUACUCCCUAGUGACCGAUAGUGAACCAGUACCGUGAGGGAAAGGUGAAAAGCACCCCGGAAGGGGAGUGAAACAGUUCCUGAAACCGUGUGCCUACAAGUAGUUAGAGCCCGUUAAUGGGUGAUAGCGUGCCUUUUGUAGAAUGAACCGGCGAGUUACGAUUUGUUGCAAGGUUAAGCGGAAAAAGCGGAGCCGUAGCGAAAGCGAGUCUGAAUAGGGCGCAUAAGUAACAGGUCGUAGACCCGAAACCAGGUGAUCUACCCAUGUCCAGGAUGAAGGUAAGGUAAUACUUACUGGAGGUCCGAACCCACGCACGUUGAAAAGUGCGGGGAUGAGGUGUGGGUAGCGGAGAAAUUCCAAUCGAACUUGGAGAUAGCUGGUUCUCUCCGAAAUAGCUUUAGGGCUAGCCUCGAGGUAAAGAGUCAUGGAGGUAGAGCACUGUUUGGACUAGGGGCCCUUCUCGGGUUACCGAAUUCAGAUAAACUCCGAAUGCCAUGUACUUAUACUCGGGAGUCAGACUGCGAGUGAUAAGAUCCGUAGUCGAAAGGGAAACAGCCCAGACCACCAGUUAAGGUCCCCAAAUAUAUGUUAAGUGGAAAAGGAUGUGGGGUUGCUUAGACAACCAGGAUGUUGGCUUAGAAGCAGCCACCAUUGAAAGAGUGCGUAAUAGCUCACUGGUCGAGUGACCCCGCGCCGAAAAUGUACCGGGGCUAAACAUAUUACCGAAACUGUGGAUGAACCUCUUUAGAGGUUCGUGGUAGGAGAGCGUUCUAAGGGCGGUGAAGUCAGACCGGAAGGACUGGUGGAGCGCUUAGAAGUGAGAAUGCCGGUAUGAGUAGCGAAAGAAGGGUGAGAAUCCCUUCCACCGAAUAUCUAAGGUUUCCUGAGGAAGGCUCGUCCGCUCAGGGUUAGUCGGGACCUAAGCCGAGGCCGAUAGGCGUAGGCGAUGGACAACAGGUAGAGAUUCCUGUACCAGUGCUAAUUGUUUAACCGAUGGGGUGACACAGAAGGAUAGGGAAUCGCACGAAUGGAAAUGUGCGUCCAAGCAGUGAGUGUGAGAAGUAGGCAAAUCCGCUUCUCGCGAAGCAUGAGCUGUGAUGGGGAAGGAAAUUAAGUACGGAAGUUCCUGAUUUCACGCUGUCAAGAAAAGCCUCUAGGAAGAGUAGUACUGCCCGUACCGCAAACCGACACAGGUAGAUGAGGAGAGAAUCCUAAGGUGAGCGAGAGAACUCUCGUUAAGGAACUCGGCAAAAUGACCCCGUAACUUCGGGAGAAGGGGUGCUCUAUUAGGGUGCAAGCCCGAGAGAGCCGCAGUGAAUAGGCCCAGGCGACUGUUUAGCAAAAACACAGGUCUCUGCAAAACCGUAAGGUGACGUAUAGGGGCUGACGCCUGCCCGGUGCUGGAAGGUUAAGAGGAGUGCUUAGCUUCGGCGAAGGUACGAAUUGAAGCCCCAGUAAACGGCGGCCGUAACUAUAACGGUCCUAAGGUAGCGAAAUUCCUUGUCGGGUAAGUUCCGACCCGCACGAAAGGCGCAACGAUCUGGGCACUGUCUCAACGAGAGACUCGGUGAAAUUAUAGUACCUGUGAAGAUGCAGGUUACCCGCGACAGGACGGAAAGACCCCGUGGAGCUUUACUGCAACCUGAUAUGGAAUGUUUGUACCGCUUGUACAGGAUAGGUAGGAGCCGAAGAGACGUGUGCGCUAGCAUACGAGGAGGCAAUGGUGGGAUACUACCCUGGCUGUAUGACCAUUCUAACCCGCCACGCUUAGCGCGUGGGGAGACAGUGUCAGGUGGGCAGUUUGACUGGGGCGGUCGCCUCCUAAAGAGUAACGGAGGCGCCCAAAGGUUCCCUCAGAAUGGAUGGAAAUCAUUCGCAGAGUGUAAAGGCACAAGGGAGCUUGACUGCGAGACUGACAAGUCGAGCAGGGACGAAAGUCGGGCUUAGUGAUCCGGUGGUUCCGCAUGGAAGGGCCAUCGCUCAACGGAUAAAAGCUACCCCGGGGAUAACAGGCUUAUCUCCCCCAAGAGUCCACAUCGACGGGGAGGUUUGGCACCUCGAUGUCGGCUCGUCGCAUCCUGGGGCUGUAGUCGGUCCCAAGGGUUGGGCUGUUCGCCCAUUAAAGCGGCACGCGAGCUGGGUUCAGAACGUCGUGAGACAGUUCGGUCCCUAUCCGUCGCGGGCGCAGGAAAUUUGAGAGGAGCUGUCCUUAGUACGAGAGGACCGGGAUGGACACACCGCUGGUGUACCAGUUGUUCCGCCAGGAGCAUCGCUGGGUAGCUAUGUGUGGCAGGGAUAAACGCUGAAAGCAUCUAAGCGUGAAGCCCCCCUCAAGAUGAGAUUUCCCAUUUCUUCGGAAAGUAAGAUCCCUGAAAGAUGAUCAGGUAGAUAGGUUUGGAGUGGAAGUGUAGCGAUACAUGGAGCGGACAAAUACUAAUCGAUCGA
rnacentral:rRNA from 1 species